UACGGAGGGUGCAAGCGUUAAUCGGAAUUACUGGGCGUAAAGCGCACGCAGGCGGUUGGAUGAGUUAGAUGUCAAAGCCCCGGGCUCAACCUGGGAAUUGCAAUUAAAACUGUCCAGCUAGAGUCUUGUAGGGGGGGGUAGAAUUCCAGGUGUAGCGGUGAAAUGCGUAGAGAUCUGGAGGAAAACCGGUGGCGAAGGCGGCCCCCUGGACAAAGACUGACGCUCAGGUGCGAAAUCGUGGGGAGCAAACAGG
rnacentral:rRNA from 1 species